AGCUGCUGUGCUGCAAAGCCAGGGGGAGGAAUGAAGUUACCAAAUUCUACAGCAACAGACGGCAUGACCCCAUCCCAACUGGUUAGCGUUCGGUCAGACUGUUCCAGGUUGAAGUUCUUUCAGGCAUAUGGUCCGGGAGCUCAGAAAUCUCUGGGCACGAAGUAGAAGACCUGAGUGUGAGUUCGUCGUACUACUUCCUACGUGACUAUCUUAGCAAGGCAACUCAGCACCGAGACAGUUUCUGCAUGACAGGAAAAGGAUGGGAUUGUGCAUAAUACCUACACCGAAGUGUCUUUCUUCUUCCUUUCCUUUCUUGUUUUAAAGAGGAAUGAACAG